rnacentral:rRNA from 1 species
GCGAGCGGGUGAGUAACAUAUCGGAACAUAUCUAUAGUGGGGGAUAACGCAGCGAAAGCUGUGCUAAUACCGCAUGAGAUCGUAAGAUGAAAGCGGGGGCUCGCAAGACCUCGCGCUAUUGGAGUGGCCGAUAUCAGAUUAGCUAGUUGGUGAGGUAAAUGCUCACCAAGGCGAUGAUCUGUACGCUGGUCUGAGAGGAUGAUCAGCCACACUGGAACUGAGGCACGGUCCAGACUCCUACGGGAGGCCGCAGUGGCGAAUUUAGGACAAUGGGGGCAACCCUGAUCCAGCCAUUC